UUAUCACUCCGAGGUCACACUGCAGCUGCCUUAGAAAGCAGGUUUUCCCCAAACACUGUUCGGCAUUACAAACCAGACAAACCAUCGCAGACACGCACAGGUGUCUUCCCUCCCCAGUGCUGCCAUCCAAGCACCCGCUUACUGUCCAGGGUGCAGCAGCGGGAGCGAGCAGCUCCUCACCCACGGCCCAGGCUCUGCUCAGCACCCCCGACGGCUGCACACACCCACUGUGAGAGGCACCACUGGGCUGCAAUUACCCACUGCGAGAGGCAGCACUGGGCCCCAUUUACCCAGUAUGAGAGGCACCGCUGGGCUGCACUCGCCCACUGUGAGAGGCAGCACUGGGCUGUCCUUACCCACUGCGAGAGGCAGCACUCACCCACUGCAAGAGGCACCGCUGAGCCCCACUCACCCAGUGUGAAAGGCACCACUCAGCUUCACUUACCCAUUGAGAGAGGCAGCACUGGGCCCCAUUCACCCAGUGUGACAGGCAGCGCUGGGCUGCACUCACCCACUGUGAGAGGCACCGCUGAGCCCCACUCACCCAGUGUGAAAGGCACCACUCAGCUUCACUUACCCAUUGAGAGAGGCAGCACUGGGCCCCAUUCACCCAGUGUGACAGGCAGCGCUGGGCUGCACUCACCCACUGUGAGAGGCAGCACUCAGCUUCACUCACCCACUGCUAAAGGCAGCACUUACCCACUGCAGGAGGCACCGCUCGGCCCCACUUACCCACUCUGGGGUAAUUGCUGGGCCCCAGGGGCUGCCCACAUGCGUCCGAGCCUCUGCUUCCUCCACGGCCACAGCCGCCCUCGGCGCCCUCGGCCCCCUCAGGCCCGCGGCCGCUCCAGCUGCGGCUCCAUAAGCGGCUUAUGCCCACGAUUAGCUCAGUCACCGGGGCUACAGAUGGCCGGGGAAAGCCGCUCUGGGCUAUGGCUAAUUAAAACCGGGGCUCGGCUGGGGAGAGGAGGGCUUAUCCUGGGCGGGAGCCAUGCCUGUCCCGGGCAGUGCCUCAGGACAAGGCGCCAUGUCUUCCUCUUCCUACCCGAGCCCACCAGGGCUGAGGGAGCUGCCCGCUCACCACCAAAACCCCAGGAACAGCAGCACAUGAGGGUUUUAAAAAACGAAGCAAAACCAGCUGAAUGGAACAUUGCAGUUGUCUGCAGAGACCCCACGAGAGUGAACAGAGUGAAGCCAGCGAGGCCCUGCAUGCUCUGGCACUGA
rnacentral:lncRNA from 1 species